rnacentral:lncRNA from 1 species
ACACAAUUUAAGAUUUGCCCUGGGGCACCAGGUUAUGUGUUUUCUGUUGUUUUCCUAAAGAGGGGCAUGCCAGCCUCUAACAUCCCUUGAUUUCCUUGCAUCAGGAAACAAAUGCAAAAGCAAGCUUCAUCAAGCUUCCGUCAUUUGCUUGGAGCAUUUAGAGAAGUUCUUCCUUCCCGUGAACCGGCAUGAGCACACCAUCGCUUUUCUCUUUGGGAAUCAUAACAGUUGUGCAGCCAGCACAUUCUUUGUCCCUAUAGUUUUUUUUCUCUUCAAUUGCUGACCCAUGCUAUUUUCCAGCCACUCAUUGAAAAAUUGUUUGGGGGUGUCUCUUACUACUCACCGAUACUCAAAUGAAAAUUACAGCUGACCAGGACGUAUGAUGUGUAAGUUAUUUAAAAUAAAAUAUUCCUUUUAUAUUACAUUAUUAAAUUUGUAUUCUUUAUUCACUUUCCCUAGAGUUAAACUUAUAUAAAUAUCACUAGAUUUUUGGGGGUUAGGGGGUGUCUGCUCAAUUUAUAUAUCAAAUCCUCUUCUUCAGCACAUUGGGGGAAAGGAUAAUUAAUAGUGGAGACUGGUAGAGGAAUGGUGCUUAGAACUAUAGAAGGAGACACUCAUAAUAGUUUUUACCAUGUGACCCA